UACGUAGGUGGCAAGCGUUGUCCGGAAUUAUUGGGCGUAAAGCGCGCGUAGGUGGCUUCUUAAGUCUGAUGUGAAAGCCCACGGCUCAACCGUGGAGGGUCAUUGGAAACUGGGGAGCUUGAGUGCAGAAGAGGAAAGUGGAAUUCCAAGUGUAGCGGUGAAAUGCGUAGAGAUUUGGAGGAACACCAGUGGCGAAGGCGACUUUCUGGUCUGUAACUGACACUGAGGCGCGAAAGCGUGGGGAGCGAACAGG
rnacentral:rRNA from 1 species